GUGCUUUUUGCUCCAUCUAUGUAAUGAGGAUAAUACCACUAGAGUUGUGAGGAUCAGACUGACGUAUAUAAAGGAGCUACGUCCAGCAUAAUAUAGUAAAAGUGACGUGUGGGAGCUACUUUUAUUGUUAUUCUAUUUUCAUAUACAUCUGAAAAGUCAUACUAGUCAGGAUAUAAGGAAAAGGGAUAUAUGGAAAUGCCCCUGCCUCUGAUGCAGCCUCUCCAAGUACUGCUUUGCCAUGAGUGAGUCAAGGAGACAAGCUACCCUGGGGGGGUUUAAGAUACCUCAAGAAAUACCAUCAACAGAAUAAAGAAACUGGAGAUAAAAGGUCUAAAUUAAAGGAAGUUCCUCAUGUAAAAGUAGAAUGGUUUUCUUUCAAGAAGCACUGGAAU